rnacentral:rRNA from 1 species
GACGAAGGGGGCUAGCGUUGUUCGGAAUUACUGGGCGUAAAGCGUGCGCAGGCGGUUUUGUAAGUCAGAUGUGAAAUCCCCGGGCUUAACCUGGGAACUGCGUUUGAAACUACAAGGCUAGAGUGUGGCAGAGGGGGGUGGAAUUCCACGUGUAGCAGUGAAAUGCGUAGAGAUGUGGAGGAACACCGAUGGCGAAGGCAGCCCCCUGGGUUAACACUGACGCUCAGGUACGAAAGCGUGGGGAGCAAACAGG